rnacentral:rRNA from 1 species
UAAUUUUAGAGUUUGAUCCUAGCUCAGGAUGAACGCUGGCGGCGUGGAUAAGGCAUGCAAGUCAAGGGGGCCCGCAAGGGCAACCGGCGAACGAGGUAGUAACACGUAGGUACGUACCCUUUAGUCUGGAAUAGCCCCGCGAAAGCGGGGGUAACACCGGAUAGUCUCGAAAGAGUAAAAAUUUAUUGCUAAAGGAGCGGCCUGCGGGAUAUCAGCUAGUUGGUAAGGUAAUGGCUUACCAAGGCUAUGACGUCUAGGGGAGCUGAGAGGCUGACCCCCACCGAUGGAACUGAGAAACGGUCCAUACACCUACGGGUGGCUGCAGCCGAGAAUAUUCGACAAUGGGCGAAAGCCUGAUCGAGCGACGCCGCGUGGUUGAUGAAGUCCUUCGGGACGUAAAAACCUUUUAUGAUUAAGAAAGUUUAUUGAUCUGAUCAUGAAUAAGGGGCUCCAAACUCUGUGCCAGCAGGAGCGGUAAUACAGAGGCCCCAAGCGUUAUCCGGAAUCACUGGGCGUAAAGGGUGUGUAGGUGG